rnacentral:rRNA from 1 species
GAUGAACGCUAGCGAUAGGCCUAACACAUGCAAGUCGAGGGGCAUCACGGAGUAGCAAUACUUUGGUGGCGACCGGCGCACGGGUGAGUAACGCGUAUGCAAUCUACCUACAACAGGGGGAUAACCCGGAGAAAUCCGGACUAAUACCGCACAACACAGGGGUCCCGCAUGGGAAUAUUUGUUAAAGAUUUAUCGGUUGUAGAUGAGCAUGCGUUCCAUUAGGUAGUUGGUGAGGUAACGGCCCACCAAGCCUGCGAUGGAUAGGGGAACUGAGAGGUUUGUCCCCCACACUGGAACUGAGACACGGACCAGACACCUACGGGAGGCAGCAGUGAGAAAUAUUGGUCAAUGGGCGAGAGCCUGAACCAGCCAAAUCGCGUGAAGGAAGACUGCCUUAUGGGUUGUAAACUUCUUUUGUACAGGAAUAAAAAGAGGGACGUGUCCUUCAUUGCAUGUACUGUACGAAUAAGCAUCGGCUAACUCCGUGCCAGCCGCCGCAGUAA